rfam:Parcubacteria bacterium GW2011_GWA2_47_26 TX98_C0015, whole genome shotgun sequence.
GCCGAUGUAGCUCAGCCAGCAGAGCAAUGCUUUCGUAAAGCAGAGGUCGUGGGUGCAAAUCCCACCAUCGGCU